UGCAAUGUUUAAAACACAUAAAAAUGUGAAGUGAUGGACAUGAUACAAAAAAUAAAUAUUUGUAUCAUGUUUGAAAUAGGAAAUGGUCCAUGAUUGGAAACCUCAGUGUGUGUAGUGUGUUCCACAAAUCCAAAAGAGUCCCCCCAAUUAACUUUAGCAGAACAGUGUAUAAAUACGUGCAUAUACAUAAAUCAACCUCGUGUGAAAAUUCGCAAAAUUAAAAGGGGCGUUUCCACAAAAAUGUUACAAAAUCUGAUGUACUCGCUGGUAUCGUUUUAAACCUAGUUGUUUGUUAAUUAAAAAAAAAAUAAAAAUAACAUAUAUCUCUCAAAGAUGGAUAAAACGGAUGAAGAUGAAUCAAAUAAAUUUAGUUUACUGGCUAUUGUAUUGGACACUAAUCCAUCCCAACGAAUGGUGCGACAAAAACCUGGUUGAACAUGCCCACAUAGCAGUACCAUAAGGGUCAGUUUAGAUCCGGAACAUCAGGACAUGAGCGCUUGUUUCUGGAGCUUCGAAUUUCUAAAUUGGUGUCGAAUUUGCUAAAAGCUGCUGUAUGUUUGUAAUUGCUGCAGGUUUUGAAUCCUUGAACUGCUCCUGUGCUUAACGUCAC